CUCAGUUUCUGUAUCACGUCGGUGCACCGGUUCUCGUCGAAUCCCCGAAGUAAAGGAACGUCGAACCUAGUUAGUACAGAGAUAGAUGACCACUUGAGCAACCUAGAUGCUGUAU
rnacentral:rRNA from 1 species